AACUCUCAACGCCCUGUUUCCGCCCAGUUUCGGAGAAACAGAGCGGAUUCUGCUUAUACGGGCCGCGGAGAGAGAAGCAGCUGCUGCGAGCUGUUAGUGCGGGUGUGAGAGAGAUUGCUUCUACAUGACUGAGAGUUUGCGGGGGAGUCAUGUGUAACUGUGACUCCGACAAGCGGCGUGUAAUGGAGGGAAUGUGUUUGGUUGCGAGGGAGGCUGUGGGCGUGUGUGUCUGUGUAAGAGUCUAUGCGUAUGUUUGAGACUGUGAGAAUGUGUUGGGGGCGGGGGCAGUGUGACGGACACAGUGAGGAAAAGGGCACCGGAGUAUUUGUCUGGUGUAAGGAAAGAAGAGACGUGUGAAGGAGAUAUGCGAGUGUGAAGAAUACGUGUGUGUGUGUGACUAAGACUAAGGGGGUGUGUGUGUGAGAGAGAGAGGAAAUAAAGUGAGAGAAUGUGGCUUUCCGAAACUCGGAGCGCUUGCCUGCUGGAGGAUGGAUCCGGCAGUAUCAGGGUAUUUCGAUCUGUAUGUAAUUACCAGAAUUACUGAGACGGUGGUUUGCACAACUCUGUGUGUGUGUGUGUGUGUGUGUGUGUGAGAGAGAGAGAGAGAGACUUGCUGUUUGGGGAGUUGGCGGGGAAGGGUGAGCUGGGGAUUCACUGCAGGGCAGUGUGUGUCAUUCUGCAGAUAAGGUGGAAACAUCGAGGUUAGCAAUUGAACAUAAAAUUGCUCGUCGGGGGCAAUAACCAGAGGAGAGAACAAACCCCCGAACUCCACUCCUCCUGGUGCAGACCACCCGCUAACCUGGAGGAUGUAGUGUGUAUGUGAACGUGAGUGUGAUUCUCACCACGUAGUUCAGGAACGCAGUGAACAGCAGGCAGGAGCCGAGUGAAGCGGACGCUUGAAAGUUUUAUCUCGCCCUCGCUGUUUCUCUCUCUCUCUCUCCCGGGAUUCCGCCCUAUGCUCUAAUUAAGACUAGGAAUUCCCCCCCUCUAUGUUCCGGUUAAAAAAUACCCAGCCGGAAUGAAGCAGGUCGGCGUUCCGCGGUGUCUGCGGAUUGUGAAUGGCGGAGGUUGUUUGGGGGGGAGGGGGGGAGUGUAUGUUGGAGGGUUUGGUCUUGGGGUUGUGAGCUAAAGGUUGAUGUUUAUGGUAAUUGAAGUUAACGACUGGCCUUAUGGGUAGAGAUUUUUUCCAGGCUCGGAGGGGAGCUGCACGCUAAGGGCUGGAUCGGAAAUUUAAAAAAAUCCGUUCGCUCUGUGCAGACGCUCAAGCACAUCUGCUCCAGCGAUCUGCCAGAAGGCUUCUUCUCUGUAAACACCGCCACUACCACCACCACCACUAACCCACCCCCUCCCUCCCCACUCCCUCUUCUUCCAGCAGGCAGCAGCCUGAGGUUUUCCACAAGGCAGGGGAUGUGGGGCGAGCAGAGUCUGAGAGAGAGAGCCCACAGACUGGAUGGUUCCGCCGCUCUCUAUGUGGUGAGGAACCAACAUGGCGCUGCGGAGUCUUGCCGUGCCUGAGACUCGCAGCCGCCCGCCACCUGUACACUGAGAGCCGCUGCUACAAACCGAGGGGGAAAAGCCGGCAACGCUGGGAGGGCGGGGGGCAGGCCUGCCCUGCUCGCACCUUUUACUGUGAACCGGCGGCGGAUUGCUCUCGCUCUGUGUGUGUGUGUGUGUGUGUGUGGUGGAUAUCCGGACUUUUUGGGGGCGAUCUGUGAGCACACGUCUGAUCCGCUCAGAUGAAAGAAGUCUCUCUCUGGCUUGGCUAUUAAAAAAAACCUGAAAAGGCACGUGGAUGCAUUAAAGACGAGGUCAGCACCAGAACAAGAGGCUGGUGAAAUUCUGCCGAGAGCCUGCAAUCAGGAAGAUUGGCUCCUCGUUCUUUCCACGUUAGCUCGGCUCUCGGUGUAUAUGUGCGCGUCUCGCCUGAAUGUUGAGGGCAAGUUUCGAGACUCGGACUAUUCGAGCACGAUCCUGCUGCUCCCGUGCUUAACAACUUCGAGGGUCUGGUGCAGGAUCUGAUCCAAUCGGCCUUUUUUGAAACCACACCGAUCAUUCAUCUGGAGCGGCUUGGCCCUGACUUGGGAACGUCACUUUUUGUUGAGAAGAUUUACAAAGUGCUGUAGACAUUGCCCGCACAGUAACUGCGGCUUUUCGCAUCGCAUUUCGCUCAGUCUCCGGAUCGUACGAGAGAACGCGGAGCCAGUUCCACCCCGAAGGCUAAUCGCGGAAAGCCAAACCUAGAAACCACCCCACACCAACUCCUCUCCCAACCCGGCGAGGCCGAGGAUUGAUUCACAGAAUUCCGGUCCGAGUUUAUCCAAAUGCUUUUAAUUAAUUUAUCUACGUUGUAAAAAUCAGCACAGGUACAAUGAAUCAGGACGGAAUCGUUUAUUUUUAAAAAUCAUCGUGUCCCUUAUACGGCACAGCAACUGAGUAGAUGAAAGCGUUUUAUUAAAGGGAGUUAACUGAUCGUUUAAAGGCGGCGGGGGGAAUUAGUUCCCAGUGUGUAUAUAUUGCAAAUAACUACAGCCUACCAAGUUAUUCCGAGCUAGUGAGUUGAACCUUAUGGGUCACACUGACGGAUGAUUUAUUUUUGAACUGUGCCUUUGAGAUUAUUGCGAGAGCAGCUUUUAACUAACGUGUGUCUUUUACUGCUUGAAGUGUGCAUCGUCCGCCUAAUAUGUUACUAGUCACUUCAGACUGUAAGAAUGUGCCUUUCAGCUGAGGUUUAAUGGUGAAGGUUGUUCUAGUUCUAGCUGGUUACCUGCAAGGUGACAAGUACCCGUGUGGCAGCUACCAGCUUUGCCUGACUGAAGGCUUCUGACCGUAUUUCUAUGUCUCUGUCUAAGUGAUCGAUUGGUCUAGACAGCAGUGGCCGGCUCCCUGCACGCUCAGGGAGGAGAGAAUGAUCAUCGCAGAGAGAGAGAGGAAAAAAUUGAGGGCAAGUAAACCAGAGCCUGGUUUAGGUUUUGAUGGGCAGGCCCAGCCCUCAACCCUGUGAACAGAGACUGAAAGUUGUUGGCGGAGAAUUUCAUGAUACGGAUAUAGCGCGGGAGGUGUUAGCAUGCAUGACCAUCUCGUGUGCGCGUCUCACAAUCUCAGCGUGACACAACAUAAGACGUGUAUUCUGGAACUGUAAGCGCGUACGCACAUACGAUGUAUUUUUUAAAAUAUCCAUUUAUACAAUUACUGAGCGCCUCCUGGAGUAGAUGCACCUUCGUUCAGCAAAUUAACUUUUCUUUGAACUAUUUAAAACGCUGCAUGAAUGCAGAGUUUCCUCUACUGAGAAGAGUUGGUUGAGGUGGAAGUGGCAACAGUAGUGACGGCCUAUUCCCUUUUGUCUGUUUCGCUGACUUGUGUGAGCACGGUCUGCGCAUCUGUCGGAAGGUCCAGUUUAAGUAAAACGAUCGUGGAUUGCGAGCUGGCGCGCCGAUUUCCCUUGCUAAUAUAUCGAUUCUACGCGUUUCCGUUAUUUGGAAAUGUGUUGCUGUUCCCAGCUUCGUAAGUAUUAUUUGUUUAGUGGCGCUGUGAAACUCCCUGUUGAAGUACGUAAGGUUCCUUGCUCAAUGGCGACUGACCCGCUGACCACUCGCCUUCCGCGUCUGUUUAGAUGUAAUGUAAACAAAUACCUUGAAACUACCGAUGUCCCAACUAGACAUCUACGGUUUCUCUACGCCUCGAAAUCAUGUUCUCAUAUCUCGAUUUCCAUUUCACCCUAACUUUUUAAAAUAUUAAUAAAUGAUAUAUUUUGAUUUGAUGAAAUAUUCCAUUUUCAUUAGUCCCUCAUCAUUAGAAUUUGCUGCCUAGUUAAAAAAAAAACUGCGACCCCCUGUAAACCAAACAAAAACUGAAUAAUCGCAGAAGUAGAUUGCCCUUCGGUCAGAGCGCCAGAAUAUGAGGAGGGGACACACUGCGUGGAUCUGAACCGGGCUAACUCCAUGGUAAAUUCUAGACUGAACGAUCUUCUCUUGGCGUGACAGGCAGGUCACAAAUUCCCAAUGAAACAGAAUCCUUAUUUUUGGGGGCUGUUUCAAACGUUGGACGCCAAAAAAAACCCAGUCGAUUUUCAUGAGAACAUUACACGCACCUACGAUUCGUUGAUUUAAAUACCCUAUGAAAGUAUUGGGACAACUUCAAGAGCAACCGGCCACAGUCCACAAUCCGAUCUACCCUAUCAGUGGCAAAGUUGGAUAGUAAAUACGAUUAAAUAUCGACAUGGUAUCUAUACUAAACUUGGUCAUGACGUUUGUGGGCCAAGCAAACUGUUAUUUUUGUAAAUAUGUUAGAAAUUGUCUUUAUUCUCCAAAACUACAAAACUCCGCUUUGCAGCCCUCUAGGUAUAAUCGCUAAAGACCACGCCGUACCAUUCUUUGGAACUAUUGGUACUUUUUUGAUUUUAUUUCCCGGGAUGUAGGCGUUGCAGGCUAAGCCAGCAUUUAUUGCCCAUCCUAAUUUAUCUGGAGGUGGUAGUGAGCCGUCUUCUUGAACUACUGUGGUCAUUAUGUAGGUACAGCCAUAGUGCUGCUGGGAGGGAAGGUCGAAGACUGUAUAUGUAAAUUGACCACAUUAACCUUCACGCAAACCAAAUGUAGUGUACAAAAAACGGUAGUAAACCUGGCUUUUCCACUAAGGCCAGUAUUUAGGUGUAAUUAUAUAUAUUUUAGUUAGACUGUAGGAAGCACCAAAAAUACAUUAUUAUUACUGUAGAACCUCUGAACCAGCUGAAGAAAUAGAUCUGCGUUUGUUGUAUAAUUCACAUUGAAAUGCUGCAGUGUUUUAAGUUCUUUUUUUUAUUUCCACUUGUAAUCGCUGCAUAUGAUUUUCUGUCACCUUUGUAACGAGCAAACAAUUUCAGUCAGAAUCCGAGAUUUUGCAGUUUAUGGCAUCAUCUGUUGCAUCUGGUAGCUACAUCUGGAAGCAAUAUAAUACCCAAGAGUUGGAUUUUUACCACCUAUUAUUGCCCCCAGAUGGUUGAGCUCACCUCGUCAGAUAAUCUAGCCAGUCGCACAUUCACCCUUUUACACUUAUUUGUGAAUCGAGGCAAAAAAUCCAACGUAUUGUAAGUAAAUGCACGUUUGUGUGUUUUAGCAUUCAAAUGCAAGGUUUAGUAUCCGUUGCUCCGGAUUUGUGAUUCCUUUCACGCACAGCAGUUUAUUUGAUAUAUUUAUACCUGGUUGAUGAAUGACGUAGUUCGAGAUUUCUCAUCGACUUUAGAAUUCCUGUGAAUAUUUGGAAUACCAAAUUAAACCACCAUUUUACUGUCCGUGUACUCGAGCAAUUAAUCUAAAUUAAAAGUAUAAUUGUAUCGGAUAAUUU